CGGGUGAUGAGUACAGUGGCGGACGGGUGAGUAACGCGUAGAUCAUCUACCUUUAAGUUGGGGACAACUCAGGGAAACCUGAGCUAAUACCGAAUGUGGCUGCAAAGCUAAAGGGGGCUUCGGCUCCCGCUUAGAGAUGAGUCUGCGUCCAAUUAGCUAGAUGGUGGGGUAACGGCUCACCAUGGCGAUGAUUGGUAGGCGGCUUUAACGAGUGGUCGCCCACACUGGGAUUGAGAUACGGCCCAGACUCC
rnacentral:rRNA from 1 species